UUCAAAGCUUCCUCAUUCACCAGGUUAAUUUUAUUUUAUUGAUUUGGAGUGUCUUUGCUUGUAUUGUUGUUUUCUCAUUGAAUGGCAUUUGAAGCUCUUCAGUUUACCAUAUAAGGCUUGUUUCUGGGCCUAAACUUUCAGGUUAGAAAUUUUAUUAGAAUGUCAUGUUCAUCCCAUGAUAAUUAAUUCUUAUCCAUGUGUUGUUAUUAUGUGUUCCUCUUCUGCAAUGUCACUCUUACAUAUGUGCCUAAAGCAUUGGUCUUUUUGUUUCUUCUCACUUCUUUGACCCUCAUUCUUAACCGUCAUAUUGUUAAUCUGGUGCUUUCAAUUAGAACCACUACAUCACUCAUCACUUCCAUCGGUGUGGAUGCCCUUAGAAUAAUUCAAAUAUUGUACACAUUUGAAGAUAUAAGCCUUUAAAAUUUUUAGUUACAUGCAGUUUGAAGAUAUUAGAUAUGGACUAAAAUGUUGCUGCUCUUUAGUUAGUUAGUAUGAAAUUUGGGUAAUAUAAAUUGUUCCUGUUUUACUAGGUUGUCUUUUGUCAUUUAAUUGAGGCUACCAUGUACUGAAACUAACAAUUAUCAUUCUCUAAUAUCUGCCUGGUAGAAAUCCAAAUGUAUUUCUUUUCUUCUGAGAAAUGUGAAAGAUGAAGUUUUUCUUAAUGAGUUUCUGUAGUUCUUAGUUAUGGAUAAUCCUGUUGCCAACAGCAGGGAAGAAAUGUUAAUUUGGAUUUGUCUUGUCUUGAGUUAUUUGCAGAAUCCAAACAAGAAUUUAAUGGCAAUUACUCAGUUCAGGUGUAUACUGUGCAAGCUUGCAUUCCAAAGUACCCAGCAGCACUUUGGAAUGCUGAAUUUGUGCAGGCAGAAGAACUCUUGAGGCAGCCUUCCACAAUUGAUAAUUGCUUGUGAGAUAACAGGUCACUUUGGGUGUAUAGAAUUACCAAUUCCAGUAUAUCAUCCUUCCCAUGUGAGCGAACUGAAGCGGUUGUUGAGCCUGGUUUGCUUUAAGUGCUUGAAGUUGAGAAGUGGGAAGAUGAUUUUGGACAUACAAAUGUGGAUAUAUAAUUUUUUGACAAUUACGGGAGGGCAUUGUUUUUAUACCUCUAUUUGUAUAU